UUCAGCCUUCGUUUGUUGUAUUGCUUGCAAGCUUGUAAAAAAACAAAAACAUUAACAGGUUUAAAUUAAGUUAUGAGCAUUUAGCCAGAAUAUAUUAGCAUAUUAAUGAGAGAAAAGCCCAGUGAAACUGUACAACAUAAAUCCAGAGACCGUUCAGUGUUGCGUCACCAGCCGUCGUGCUGCGCGUGCGCGACAACAAGUAGCGCGCGCCCAUCGCAGAAUAUCGCAGCUACACAUGCGCGUGUUUACAUUUAGCAUUAGCUAGCAGUUAGCUAGCGACUGGCGCUGAUGCUAAUUCGAAAACAGAGUUGACUUCGUGCGAACACGUGUGACUCGGUGCUCGGCUCAUUUCCACAGGUUACGGGAGCAACCAGCAACUUUGCACUUGGCUCCAUAUUCAAGGUGUUUUACUUAACGUUGCUUCAUACUCACAGGUAGCUGUCCAUGGUUCUGAUCAGGAAAAAUACAGCCCAACUCUUAACCCCAUUUAAGAGGCAACAGACAACUUUCCUGCCCCUAGUGGUUCCAGGUGGUAUUAGUCGUAAAGACGCUGCAGCAGCAAGACACAGUGGGGGUAGAGCAGCAAGAAGAAAGACCGGCGAUUCAUCUGGAGGCCAAAGCUCCCGUGUCAGCCACCAGCCGACCACCGGCCCCCGGGAAGUGCUCUGCCUCAGGGGUCGCUUUUACCUCUCACGUCUGGGUGGCAAAGGAAAAGGGACACUUAUCCUGCUAAGCUGAAAAGAGCAUCGUCACAUCUAAAUCAUCAUUGUCGAACGCGAAAACAGAAUAAUACCUGUCAAACCAUCUCACACGCUGCCUAGUCACCACUUGUCUAGACAUCCUCGUGCUUCCCCUUCCACUCCCAUCCCAAAUCCUGUUAGCGCCAGCAGCCUGCAUCACAACAACCUACAUCCCACAGUAAUCACACCGACCGACUCAGGCGCGAGGGUGUCGGAGCCCCGACAGAGAAACGGCAGUAAAUCCUGGUGAGGGGCACGAGGCGGGAGGGAGACUGCUGAGACCCAGGAAGUGGAGGGAGAGCGAUUUUCUUUUGUGCAUUCAAAUCUUAUUUGGAAAAGGAGGAUAAGCGUUCUGGAGAAGCAUAUUGCUGUGGCCCCGCUCCAAGUGUCUACCAGCUCUGAGAGAAAAAAAGCGAGGCAUUGAUCCAAACACAUUUUUAUACCACGGAUUUUUAAAAACUGUUGGUCACGACAUUUAUUCUUCAUUUAUGUCGACUGGAGAGCGAGACAGUUUUGGUUUCACAUGUCAACUAACAGGACAGGCAAGGACAGCACAACAUAGUGUGUGACGUGUUUUCAAUGUGGUCUUUGAUUUUUGUGCAGCAAGAUAGAACAAAGGACAUUUGAGUGCAGCAACUAACAGAAAAGUACAAUGUUAAAUAGCUGCAGCAAUAAUUUUACAACAAUGUGUAUUUUAUGGUCUAGGAAACUAUUUUAAUUAGUUGGGUGGUUAAAACCUGGAUUUCUGUUCAUCUUUUUAUGAUGUUUGUUGAAAUGCCUUGCGACUGUGCCGCAAACUAAUUUCCCCAAUGCAUGGGGACAUGCGCAGUAUCUAUCUAUCAAUACAAAAUAAUACUUUUCAAUACUUUAAUCAAAGGAAAAUAAACAUUUAUCUUAAAACAUGCGACCAAAGUAAAUGACUGUCUUAAUUUGGCAAAAGUAUUGGUAAAAUUAGAGAUUGUGCUGUCCGAGAGUGAAGAACAAAAUCUGAGUGAACAUUCUGAUACCUGCUUCAUUUACUUGACAGAUUUUCUACUUGACUUGAGUUUUGAGAUUC